rnacentral:rRNA from 1 species
AUGUUCCUCGACCCAUGCAGCUUAUUUCAUGUGGUUAGAUUGUUGACUCUGGUUGUUGGGUCAUUCUUGACUUUAACUCUUGUUUUGAUUAGGAUCCUCACACGGAUGCUCUACUUGUUGUGGGCCCUCGACGCUAUAACAACCAGGCCCUCUAGGAGCUUGACUGGCUUCACCUUCCCUCUGAUGACACCGUCGCCAGUCUCUCUACUCUCCUUGUCUACCGACUCUUUGUGGCAUCAUCGUCUUGGUCACCCAUGUGGCUCUCGUUUGUCAUACUUAAAUCGAUGUGGCCUUCUUGGAUAUGUCUCUAGAGGUGUCUCUUUAGACUGUUAG